UAAGGUAAGUUCCGCACCCAGCAUGGAGACCAACUCGGCUCUUGAACUCACAACCCUGAAAUCAAGACCUGAGCGAGAUCAAGAGGCUUAACUGCUUCCCCAAGUGAGCCACCCAGGCGCCCCUGAGCUACUGGUUUUGGAGUCCGUCUACACUGUUGCAACUUCAAAUAAAAUGAAAAGAAGCCAACCACCCAAAGACAUCAGAGGAAGCCUUGAGAAGGAGUAUUUUAUUAACAACAUGGCCUUGAGAAUUCAAAGUGCUGGGUUACUUAUUACUUUCCUCCAAGAUAAGGGGGAGGGGGGUUGAGGCGAAGAGAACCCGGAAGAAGGGCAUGCGGGGGGGGGGGGUGGGCAAAGGGCUAAGUUACAUCUACAUACAUUUCUGUUCGCUCUGGGCUGCAGGGAGCAGAGGCUUCCCGGGGCCCUUCCUGAGCCUUGAGAGCAGAAAGUAGUUUAAUUUCCUGAUGGCUGCACGGCCUCGGAUCGCCCACCUGCUCCGGCGCGUGCUGCUUGCCGCGGAAAACAGGCCCAGAUCCGCGCACGCACUGCGGCAGGAGGCCAGCCUCGCGCCUGUCCUCUUUCUCCCGGGGGCGGAAGUCCCAGCGCAGCACGAGGCUGGUUUCUCCCGCGCUCAGGAGUGCCCCUCUGUUCUUUCUGCUCGGUCCAUUGGUGGGUAUUUUAAUUCUUAGGACGGUUCGAAAGCACAGACUUCCAAACCUAGACUGUUGAGUGUGUUUGCAGACGGUUAGAACACGGCAGGGCAGAAAGCACAGACAAUCCUGCCUGACAACUUGGGUGCCGACGUCUCCAAGGCAGGCACGGACUGCUACCUCCCCUCCCCUCCUCCAAAUUAGCAGCCUUUCUUCCUCUAAGACCCCAUCUUAACCUGGGCGACAGCGCUGAAUAGAAACUACAUUUCCCAGUCUCCUUUGCAGCGAGACUGGUCAUGUGACUAGGUUUAGCCAAUGAGACGUGAGCAGACGUGGCCGGAGCAACUCGUAGGAAGCGUGUCUGAAGAGAGGAUCCGAAUUCCAGUUCUUCCAGUGUGUCGGCUGGAAUGUAGACUUGCUGGGCCGCCAUUUGAGUCACGUGAACGAUACGCCGCACAGCAGAACAAUAUCCGGGGAGCCUGGCCUCUAACAGCGCCGACCAGCCGGGGACCACCUACCCUGACUUCUCCUUUGAGAAAUGCAUCGUAUUGUUUACACCA